rnacentral:pre_miRNA from 1 species
AAUGUACUCCCUCCGUUCCGAAUUACUUGUCGCAAGUAUGGAUGUAUCUACAUGUAUUUUAGUUCUAGAUACAUCCAUUUCUACGACGAGUAAUUUGGAAUGGAGGGAGUACCUC